AGCCCUAACAGGAGAUCAAUGAAAUGCCAGAAAACCGUGAUAGGAGCUAGAGAUUAAGACGAUAGGAAGGACCUCUCUCUCCCACUGUUCUCUACAUCUGUGAGAGUAUAUAUGGCUCAUGUUGACACUAAGUGUGCAUUCUUAGCUUAUUUUGACUGUUUCAGUAUAAUUAACUUUGCUUAAAUACAUGCGACAGUAUCAAGACAUGAGGUUUGGGUUUGUUUUGGAUUUCAGCUCUUGUCGCUGUCAUUCUAAUCCAAAUCAAAACUUGAUUCAAGACUGCACUCUUUUGGUAAUGAAGAUUUAUCAUAGAGGAAUUUGAGUGUGUGAAGGCUGAGGUUUACAAUACUAAUAAUGCAACUUUUUUUUGAAGACCUCUUAUGUCUUCCAUCUUUAUUCCAGGCACUUGUCUUCAAAUAGGUGUAAGUAGCCAUAUAGUUAAACAUAAUAUAACUUCUGUUCCAGAGAAGAGCACAAUAGCGAUAAAACGUGUUGAAAUUCAGCUUUCACUCACGGGAAGGAGGUCAAAAUCUGAAGGAAAUACUUCAAAAGUGUGGAAAGCAAAACUGUUCUCUCAAGCCCAUCUGCUGGAUAUGAUUAGUCUGUGGACAUUUUUCCCUCCAAAUUUUCAGCUCCUUAUGUGCAAACUAAAUAAAUGGAAGGCUUCUGCUAAGCUUGGACUCUCACAAAACUCAGCUCCUCACCUCCGACGAAUCAACUGCCACAAACCCCACGCAGGCUGGUAUGUCACGGUGGGACAAUCCAUAAAAUUUCCCUACGUGAAGAAGUGCUCAGGGAAGUCUAACACACUCCAUUGGAUCACUACAUCAGUGUGCUAA
ensembl:lncRNA